rnacentral:rRNA from 1 species
UACGAAGGGGGCUAGCGUUGUUCGGAAUUACUGGGCGUAAAGGGCGCGUAGGCGGUGUGUCAAGUCAGGCGUGAAAGCCCCGGGCUCAACCUGGGAAUGGCAGUGGAUACUGGACGGCUAGAAUGCGGUAGAGGGUAGUGGAAUUCCCGGUGUAGCAGUGAAAUGCGUAGAUAUCAAGAGGAACACCUGAGGCGAAGGCGGGUUGCUUGUCUGACACUGACGCUGAGGCGCGAAAGCCAGGGGAGCAAACGGG